UAGAAACAUUACAAAUUCAAACAGCAUUAAAGCAAAAACAUGUUUCUCCAAGCACUCCCUUUUCCGUUAGAACUAAUGUAACCAAUUGCCACUGUUUCACCAAACCUAACUGAAAAAUAAUUUAAAGGAAAGCAGAAGGAUAAUAAAUCCCAU